rnacentral:misc_RNA from 1 species
GAAAUGCGAUAAGUAAUGUGAAUUGCAGAAUUCAGUGAAUCAUCGAAUCUUUGAACGCACCUUGCGCUCCUUGGUAUUCCGAGGAGCAUGCCUGUUUGAGUGUCAUGAAACUCUCAACCCCAGCUUUAACCAGCUCGAGGUUGGACUUUGGAUGCCUGCCGCGAACUCGCGGCUCGUCCUAAAUGCAUUAGCUGGAACGUCUCGCUUCACGAGGUUCUCGGUGUGAUAAUACAUCUACAUCGGACGCCGCAAGGCGGCCUCUUUGCGAGCGCGGUCCGCUCCUAAUCGUCCUCAGCGACAGCUUCAUUUAAGAUCUGACCUCAAAUCAGGUAGGACUACCCGCUGAACUUAAGC